rnacentral:rRNA from 1 species
GAUGAACGCUAGCGGCAGGCUUAACACAUGCAAGUCGAGGGGUAGAGGCUUUCGGGCCUUGAGACCGGCGCACGGGUGCGUAACGCGUAUGCAAUCUGCCUUCCACAGAGGGAUAGCCCAGAGAAAUUUGGAUUAAUACCUCAUAGUAUUACAGGAUGGCAUCAUCCGGUAAUUAAAGUCACAACGGUGGAAGAUGAGCAUGCGUCCCAUUAGCUAGUUGGUAAGGUAACGGCUUACCAAGGCGACGAUGGGUAGGGGUCCUGAGAGGGAGAUCCCCCACACUGCUACUGAGACACGCACCAGACUCCUACGGGAGGCAGCAGUGAGGAAUAUUGGUCAAUGGGCGCAAGCCUGAACCAGCCAUGCCGCGUGCAUGAUGACGGUCCUAUGGAUUGUAAACUGCUUUUGUACGGGAAGAAACACUGAUUCGUGAAUCAGCCUGACGGUACCGUAAGAAUAAGGAUCGGCUAACUCCGUGCCAGCCGCCGCGGUAAAAC